CCCUCUGCAGCCCUCCAGCUUCCAGCAUGCCGGGCCCGACCCCCAGCGGCACUAACGUGGGCUCCUCAGGGCGAUCGCCCAGCAAAGCGGUGGCCACCUGGGCUACGGGAUCGACUGUCCGGCAGAGAAUGCCAGCUGUGGGACAAGGAGCGCAGGCCACACAAACUUGGCAGGGACUGGAGGAUGUGGCGGUUCUACACAGAGGAUUCGCUUGGACUCAAAGCGUUGUCCCAGUUCCAGUUUGGGUUAUGAGUCUCUUGUUCAUCGCUUCUGUAUUUAUGUUGCACAUUUGGGGCUGCAUCCAUCUGUAUGGAGGUCGCAGCUGCUGCUGCCACAACCGCUGCGGCUGCAGCCGGGGCUACUGA